CUGACGAGUCCCAAACAGGACGAAACGCAUGUC
rnacentral:hammerhead_ribozyme from 1 species